CCUACGGGUGGCAGCAGUGGGGAAUAUUGCACAAUGGGGGAAACCCUGAUGCAGCGAUGCCGCGUGAAGGAAGAAGGACUUCGGGAUGUAAACUUCUAUCAGCAGGGAAGAAAAUGACGGUACCUGACGAAGAAGCGACGGCCAACUACGAGCCAGCAGGCGCGGGAAUACGUAGGGGGCAAGCGUGAUCCGGAUUGACUGGGGGUAAAGUGAGCGGAGGCGGUUUAGCAAGUCAGGAGUGAAAGCCCGGGGCUCACCGUCGGGACUGCGUUUGAAACUGUUGAACUAGAUUGCAGGAGAGGUCAGUGGAAUUCCUCGUGUAGCGGUGAAAUGCGUAGAUAUUAGGAGGAACACCAGUGGCGAAGGCAGCUCACUGGACUGUAACUGACGCUCAGGCUCGAAAGCGUGGGGAGCAAACAGGAUUAGAUACCCCAGUAGUC
rnacentral:rRNA from 1 species